rnacentral:rRNA from 1 species
AGAGUUUGAUCCUGGCUCAGCCUGAACGCUGGCGGCGUGGCUAAGACAUGCAAGUCGCACGGGCCUAGCAAUAGGUCAGUGGCGCACGGGUGAGUAAUGUAUCGCUAACGUACCCUUAGGUUUGGGAUAGCCAUCCGAAAGGAUGGGUAAUACCAGAUGACAUACCCUGCAGGCAUCUGCGGGGUCUCAAAGCCGCAAGGCACCUUUGGAGCGGGCGAUAUCGUAUCAGGUAGUUGGUGCGGGUAACGGCCCACCAAGCCGACGACGCGUAGCUGGUCUGAGAGGACGGCCAGCCACAUCGGGACUGAGACACUGCCCGGACUCCUACGGGGGGCUGCAGUAACGAAUCUUCCGCAAUGCACGAAAGUGUGACGGAGCGACGCCGCGUGUGGGACGAAGUCCUUCGGGAUGUAAACCACUGUCAGGGGUUACCAAGUUCUGAGGAACCCCAGAGGAAGGCACGGCUAACUCUGUGCCAGCAGCCGCGGUAAUAC